GAUCGUUUUGGAUAUUUGUUAUACAAAUAUUUUUCUUUAGACAUCCUUGAGGGAAGAUUGGAAGAAGCCUGCAUUUCCAGUUAUUCAUGGCUCCAAAUUGAAAUGGCGGGAGUAAUAUUUCUCCAUGAUAUUUUGAGAUGAUGGUGACUGAAUCCUUGCAUAUCAGAAAAGGGGAUUUCUGAUGAAAUAACAGACAGCCUCAUACAAGCCGGUUGUGAACUGUCAUUUCUUGUGGCAGCCUCUUUUAGAUUUGUGGAAAAACCUCCAUGUCUACAUCUGGAAUUGCUCAAAGGUCACUGUAUCCAUUUAUGGACCAAAUCCAGCCUCCUGCUAAGGAUUCCAGACUGAUAUGCAUAUUGUCCUCAUCUGCAACACCCUUGGAAAGCUGUUGAUUAAUGAUGGAUCUGAGAACGCUGUCUGGGCUUGGUGCCAAGGGCUGGUAUUUCACAGCAGCGACCGCCUCACAGACGAGCUGUGGGAAGCAGGAGGGAGACUCUCUCUUAGGGUGCCACUACUAUGGAGACACAGCUGGGCUGAACAAGAUUUGCUUCAAACGACAACAAGAGAGACAGAAAGUAUCUGGUUCAACCGCUGCCCAAGCAGGCAGGCACCAGAAGAGCUAGCAGCCAAUCCGGCCAUGCUCGAAGCCAGCUCUGCAGCUCAGCCAAUCAGUGACAUCACUGCUAGCACCUUUAAUGAUAAACUCUUACACCUUUGGAGGAAUUAGAAGUAGAAUCAGAAAAUGCAAAGGAUCAAUUCCUUUUGUGUUGUGAAUGAGAAGUUUUCUUUGAUUGUGCUCACUCUGGCUCAAGUUCUCCAAAGAUGAAUUCUCCAAUUUCCUUUGUGGAUGAAGAGAUCACCAACUUCUUUAGAGUGAACAGAUCUUCAGGAAUUUUACUGGGAUAAUAGUCCACAUGAAAUUCCAAGCAUUCUUUCCAAAUGUAUAUUGGACCCUCCAUAAGUUUCUUGAAAAAUAAAGUCUUUAAAGUUGCAUACCAUCAAGUGAUAAAGUCUAUCACUACCUCUAUUUGCUGCUAAUGUUACAUCACGAGUGACAGGACUCCAUAGAUUUGAGAAGCAAUAAAACGAGGAACUUAUGUAAGAAAUGUGAUUUUAUGAAAAGACAUUAAGAACUGAAAACAGAUAUCAUAAUAUGCCUGGUGUACUGGAAGAAGUCAACUUAUAUUUGUGGAAAGAAUCAGAAACUUCAUGUUAUAUUUGAAGAUGUUUUCAUCAUAAGAUGAUUUACAUUUCAUCUUCCCAAGUACAGAAGUGUUAAUUUUUCAUUCCUCUGAGCAAAAAGAGGAAUUUUAAUGUUUCAAAAUCAUGUUCUGAUAAUCUUCAUGGCAUACUGUCAUUUCAGAGGAAGGAAAGAGGGACCCUGUUUUUCUGUUUCCCCUCAGAGCACUUAUUAAAUGAUUAGAAUUAAAAUCAAUAUUCUCAUGGCUUUUAUAUUGACAAAAGGUACGACCAAGCUAUUCACUGAGCAAUUCUUUAUGAGGGUUUCUGGAGGUCUGGAACAUGGAGAAAUUUGAUAAACCAUUUUCAUAGUGGAAGUUUAAGUGAUACUCUGAUAAGAAUAUAAGAUGUACCCAGAAUCACACACAUUUAAAAAGAUAUGCAAAAUGACAAAUUUUUCAUGCUGACAAACAUUCUCAUUAUAUAUUCACCGAAAUCUCAUCCCUUAUUUCUCAUUUUAUCCUAUAUACAGUUAUUUGUUUGCUUGCUUGUUUUGAUUUUAGUCAUUAAUGAACAGAAUAUCAGCAAUUUGACUGUUCACUUAAAUUACUUAGUUGAGUAUUGAACCAAAUUUGUUUCUCAACACCAAACACAGCAAGCAUUCUAGAAGACUAACUCUUAACAGAUUGAAUCAAAAGGGGAGGAAAGCAAAGUGGAAUUACCUGGACAAGUUGGACCAUGGAAUAGAGGGGACAGAAAUGAGGCCAUUCUUUUUUCAACAGUGACUUGGAAAAAAAAUAAUUUUGAUGUUUCUGUUCAUAGUUAGAGAUAUCUUGAAAUAUACACAUGAACUUCUUGGCUCAUUUCCUCUUGUGUUAGAGUGUUCCUGCUGUUUUUGCACUCAAGCAGGUUUAAAAAGAGAAAGACUCAUUGUUUUAGUCUGCACCUCAAUUGGGUCAAAGUAUUCUAGGUCUCUGUUUUUCAGAAAGCCUAUUUGGUUAUCUAUCUAAGGGUAAAGAAAUUCUAGAGAAUACUUUCUUUUUUAAAAAAAAUAUUUAUUUUUUAGUUGUAGUUAUACACAAUACCUUUAUUUUAUUUAUUUUUAUGUGGUGCUGAGGAUAAAACCCAGGGCUUCCAACAUGCUAGGCAAGUGCUCUACCACUGAACCAUAACCCCAGCUCAAGAAUUAAUUAAUUUUCACAAAUUCAAGUUAAUAGGACACUCACUGACAGAUAAAGAGAAAACUGUAUUGCAUAAGUGGAAAUAUAUAUUUAUUAGCUUUUCAAAAGAUUUUCUUUCCAGAAUAGGCAAUUUAAGAAACCAUAUUAGUAUUUGUAUGACACUUACAGAUUAUAAAAGUAAAAUAAACAGUAUACCUUAAACCUAAUGAUUAUCACUAGAAUUUCCAGUCAACUGGAAAGGAAUUCUUAAUUUGGUUAGUGGAAAGUUUCCUUCAUACUGGACUAUAUAUUAUCUUCCCCCAAUUUUGUAUUUAUGUAAAUUAAUAGUUUUUACAUAUAAAAUAAAUCAUGGAAAUAUUUGGUAUAGUUCAAAACAAACAAACAAACAAACAAAAAACUGAACAAAGUAAAAUUCCCCCCAAAAAACCAAACUAGUUAAAAGCAAAACAUGUCACUGUUGGACACACAUGUAUGUUUCAAUCCCAUCUUAGUAUAUUUUCUGUUGCUAUGACAAAACACCUGAGGCUGGAAGUGUAUUCCUUUGUGAAUAAGGAUUACUUAUCUUAUUGUUUUGGAGGCUGAAAGUCCAAGAUUGGGUGGGCCCAUUUGUUUGGCUUCUGAUGAGGGCCUUCUGGCUGUGUCAGCACAUGACAGAUAGCAUCACUGUAGGAGUGUGUGCAAGAGGAAGAGACUGGACUAUGAGUGAGGCUUUUUCUUUUUCUAAUAAUUCAUACUUUGAAAAAUUAAGUGUGAUCUUUGGAGAACAACAUUAACUCCUUCAGAGGGUGUGCCCAAUGACUUAACUGCAUUCAAGUAGGCUUCACCUCUUAAAGGUUCUAAUACCCCACACUGGGAACCAAACUUCAAGCACAUGAACCUGUGGAAGAUGUAAACCAUAUGCAAGCCACAGCAUUUCAUUUGUUUAUUCAUUUGUCUGUUUUUGUCUUAGCAAGCAGUAGUUUACCUAGUGUUAUAGUUGGUUUUCUGUUACUGAGUGCAGAAAUGGACUGGCAAUGACUUUCUACUAUUUUUCACCUCUUAUAGGUCCCACCACCUCUUAAUAUUGCCACAUCAGGGACCAAGCUUCUAACACAUGAGCCAUUAGCAUAUAAAGCACAUCCAAACCAUAGCACCCAAAGAAGUUUCAAAGGCAAAAUGAAGUUGAAUUAGAUUACCUAUAAUAUUGGUUCCAGAAUUAGCAGUGUAUGAUUUUACAAAUAUAUGCAAAAGUCCCCAUUCAAUAAUACUAUUUUAUAACCUUUGUGAAUUUUGGUAGGUAGGCUUUCUAUUUUUUUUUCAAUCAACAUAAAUUAAUCGAAGUCUUAUUGUGUGUGCAUUUUUUUUUUUUUUUAGCAAUGAGUGUGCAAAAGUCAUCCCUUUUUACCUUGAGCAACUUAAAAUCAUGCUAGGUAGAACAGACCUAGAAAUAAAAGGGAAACUAAAAAUUGUAAGUUGGUUCUAAGUGUUAAGAAAGUGAAACAAAUGAUAUCCUCUUUAGAAUUUCAGGAUUUAGGUUGUUUUUCCUAUGUGACUUGAAGCAACCAGAGAAAGAUUUUUGGAAGAAAUGUUUUUAAAAAUGGUUCUGAAAGAAGGAGACAGAUAAACAAGCAAAGAAAAAUAUCCUAGAAAAAUGCUUUUCUCUGUUCCUAACUGUAGGAACAUGAGAAAGUAUUCAUUACAGAUGGGGGAAACGGACCCACUAAAGAUUGCCUUUGGACAUCACAGGGCAAAAAGAAAAUUAACAUUCAUUGAAAAAUUGUACUCUGAUCUUAAUAACUGGUUUGAUGAUCAAAUCAAACUGUGUCUCAAAGAAUAAAUAUGUAGCUAUGAUAUAAAACAUUAAGGAAACUUCAGUAUUUGCAUGUUGAUCAGGAGGGUAAAUGCAUACAUAUGUAGUUUUUUUUCCCCAUAUCUCGUAUGCAUUCAUGGGAAGUGUCUAUAAGUGCCUCCUAGGUCUUUCCUGAUAUAGCUGAAAAUGUUCCAGAACUCCUAAUUUCUUGCCCCCCCACUCCUAAAAUCUUGCUUUUCUCUAAUUGUCCUGUCUCAGUAAAUGGCACCAACUUCUGUUAGUACCUGAAGUGUAAAAUCUAGGUGUGAUCUUGGAUCCUUCUUGUUUUUCAACCAACAUUUUCAUCUAAGUCCUGCCAACUUGACUUUCAGCUCUGUCUGGUAUAACCACUUCUCCCAACCUCCAGGACUUGCCACUUUUUCUUGAAACACUGUCAUCAGCUAAAUAGUUUCCUAACUGCCAUUUCUGCUUCUAUUCUUCUUCCCCUAGAAAUAAUCUUCCUCAAAUCAGUUGGAGUUAUUUUUCAAAAAUGUAAAUUCGGUAGAACCCAUUUAUAGUUUCUCAUUAGAGGAACAUUACAACUCCCUACCCUUGCCUACUUGAGCUUGCAUCAUGAGACUUCAGCUUGAAUUUCUGAUUUCAACUCCCACUAUUCAUUCUCCCCUUGAGUAUCCCAUCUUAGUAUGUUGACCUUCAAGAAGUUCCUCUAACAUGCCUUGGUUUGUAGCCUAAGGGCUCUACACUUACUUAUUUUAUCUGCUUGAGAACCUGAACCUUCCUGGCUUUCUUCUUAUUAUAUCAGACCAUCACUAAAACAUCACUUCCUCAGAAAGUGAUUCUAUGAUUUCCCAAUUAAUGCUUCCAACUCAUUACUUUUUUUUCUCUUUAUCUGAAUCUAUUCAUAUCAUAAUACAUACUAAUACCUAAUAGCAAAGACAUUGUUUCUUUAAAAUCCUGGAGAUACAUCCUGAGAAUCUAGGAGAAUGCAGAGCACCAAAGAAAUAGUUGAUAAGUAAUUUUUGAAUGAAUUUAUUAAAUAAAAUGGACAGUACUUUGUGGAACAUUAUCUAAAGGAGUGAGACAUUGUUCUGUUACCAGAAGCAUCUAGAUCACACACGUUUAUACAUGUUUACUUUCUCUACUUGGGGAAAUUACUAAACACCUGAGUUUUCUCCUAAAAAAAUGAGAAUAAUGCUGUCAGGCUGAUUUGUGGAGAGGAGAAGAGAUGAUGAACAUUAAGAACAUAAUCAAUAGUUGGCCAACAGAAAAUGUUCACUGAUCGUACUGAUAUUUUUGAUAGGGAAUGUAAGAGUAAUAAUUCAAUGCCCUAGAUUCCAAUGAGUCUGUUUUAUCAAAGAAGAAUAAAAUAAAAUAAAUCCACCUUUCAACUUACUAUUAGGGACUUUUAGAAUACUCUUGAAUAUUAACCCCUGGGAAAUGAAAUAAGAACCAUGGCUUAAAUAGUUUAAACUCAUAUGGGACAAAACAAUAAAAAAUGUACAAAAAAACAAAACAUUACAUUGGAAAAGAAAUCGAUCCAAUGACUUAAUGCAUCUUUUUAUGAUUUCUAGGGAGAGUGUGCAUGUUUAAUUCAUUGAAUUCUCCACUGUUUCUAUGCUGAAAUUCACUUAGAUGACAAUUGUACUCCUAUCAACAAAAUUGGACUAAAAAAAACCCACUAAGAGUUUCAUUAUUGAAAAAUUUCCCUAUAUAAUAUAUUAAAGCUCAUUGACUAGAUGGAUCCCCACUUGCACUUUGUGUGAAUUAUAAAAGGUGCCCUUUCUUCUUGGCGGAUGAUGCACCCAUCCUUGCAUAUGUAACUGGACUCAUAGCUUGGUCAUCAGAGCCUGGUCUGUAUUGGAGUUUCACUCAUCUCCCUGGCUGGUCUCCCUUUUAUAGGGUACAGCCCAAGCAACCAUAUGCAGUGGUGCUGUAAGUAUUAGAUACUGAAUAAAAGGACAAAACAGGAGUCUGAACAAAGUGAACUGAAUAUUGACAAAGCUCAGCUAUGCCUUUCUUCAACUGAUAACUUGGAACAGCAUGCAGAAUAAAUACGACAUGGUUUCUACAAUGAGAAAAAAAAAUUAUAGUUAUGUCAUAUUUAGCUUUAUUUCACUAAUGAUUAUUGAUCUAAACUCUAAAAAAAUGUAUCCAAGAAACAUGCUUAUCAGUAUUUGAAGACUGAAGUAAUAGCUUGAUAAACUUGCUGCAGUAAGGAAGAAAAGCUGGGAAAUGGAGAUAAUGAUCAGGAGCUGAAUUUGAAUUAUAUGGGUUAAGUGUCCCUUAUUAAAAUUACUUGGGACCAGAAGUCUUUUAAAAUUUUUUUUUUCAAAAUUUGGAACAUGUGCAUAUACAUAAUGCAAUAUCUUGGGGAUGAGACCCAAAUUCUAAACAUAAAAUUCACUUAUGUUUCAUGUAUGCAUUAUAUAUAUAUAUAUAUAGACUGAAGGUAAUUUUGUAAAAUACUUUUAAGAAUUUGUGCACAAAACAAAGCUACAUGGUGUGGAAUUUUCCAUUUGCAUCAUUAUUUUAGCACUCAAAAUUGCAUAUUUUAAAGCAUUUAAGAUUUCAGAUUUCCAGAUUAGGAAUGUUUAACCUUUAUCUGCUUUUUAAAGAAUGUCAUCAGCAUUCAACUUAAUUCUAAUAAUUUUUACUGAGCAUCCACCCCACUGUUGGGCACUGCAAACUGCAGAAAAAUAAAUGCAAACAUUUAGACCUUGUGAAAGCCACGUCUGGGAGCACAAUAUGAAUCUAUGAAUUGCUAUUCCAUAGAUUACAGUAAUAAAAAUAUCAUAAUAACAAAGAAUUCAGGUCCGAGAAAGGAAUCUACAUACUGACAGGUAGACCAGGAGAGAAGCAGAAAUGGGCAAUUUCAUUGGGAGCCUUCAGAAGCUUUAGCAAAGCUAACCGCCUUUAGAGGGCAAGACCCCUCUGUCACCUUAAUGUAAUAUCCCAGUGUUUUGAAUGAGUGAGAGAAAAAAAAAAUAUCUCAAGGGAAACAACAUGAACAAAGACCAGGAUGGAAGGGUCAAGGGUCUCUUUAGGGCACAGUAGACAAUCCACAUUGGAAGGAGUGAAGGGGACACACACAGACAGGAAGGGUGUGAUCCUGGUUGGCAAGAUACAAAAGAGGCAUGAGGUGGACUAGAAUCUAGCUGGGUGUGAUCUUUUUUCUGUAUUUCUAUGUUUUAAGGGUAAUAUAUUUCCUUCUGAAGGCUUUUAAAUAUUGUCAGUUUUAUUAUGCCUAAAGUGGUAUGCCUUACAUAGGAGAAUGGGUCCAGGAGAGUGAGGAGGGAGUUGAGGAGGAUGCUCUUAUGUAGGGCCUUAGAGAAGCAAUGAGGACUUACUGUAAGGUGGAAGUGAAGUUAAUGGAGGUGAAACUGAGCAAGACUUAACAAGUGGGUUAACCAAAAAAAAAAAAAAAAGAGAGAGAGAGAGAGAGAGUUAAAGAGGACUCUGAUAUUUUGUAUGUCAGUAUUUACAAAGAUGGUGAAAUGAUUAACAGAUUUGGUAAAGCUAAAAGAGCUGUUUAGAACUCUAGGAAUUAAUAACGUAUUUUUUUUAUUAAGAGCACCUGGAAACUGGGCUAUAACAUAAGCAAAUUUGCAUUCAGAUUUAUGGUCGAUUCUUAGAUCUUUUACAACUAGUGAAGAUGAUAUUCGUUCUUAUUUGUUUAUUAAACUCCAAGACAUUUUGUAUGGUCAUGUAUUUACACACAUAUUCUUAUUUUAUAUUUUAUAAUGCAGUUUGAUUUGUUGUAAAUAUAAAUGAACUCAUGUUUAAUUAAGAACAAACACAUAACAAUAAAUAAUAACACUUUCAUGCUUAUAUUUGAAUACCUUUCUAUUUUAGAUAUUUUGUAUACAUAUACCCUUUAAAAAUGUACAAUUGCAUUUCUGAUUUUUGAAAACUAUGUAUUUACUUAUUAUGGUGCCAGGGAUUGAACCCAGGACCUCAUGCAUGCUAGGCAAGCACUCUACCUCUAGCCUCCAACUUGUAUCUUGAGAUAAUUAUUAAACCUACAGAAAAGUUACAAAAAGAGUGCAUAGUGUUUCCAUAUAAACUUCGCCCUUCUUUCCUAAUGUCAAUAUAUUAUGUAACCAUAGUCCAGUUAUCAAAACCUAGAAAUUAACACAGGUACUGUUGAUCGAUAUUAAUGCUAUUGGCCUCUCAAUCAUUUUUAUAAAAAAAUGCACAUAUAUAGCAAAAAAAAUUGUAACCUACUGUUUAUAUGCUCUGAAUGCUAUUUUAAGCUUUCAGACAGUGAGAACUAAUAUGAUGGAUUAUACUCUACAGUGUUAGCCAAUGACUAUUAACACAACCUUCUGCAAAUGAUCUCAGUACUUUAUCAUGUUCUCCUUUUGUGUUAUUUAUUUUGGAUUCCAACAAACAAUUUUUACCCAAUAUAGCUGACACAAAUGUUUGUAAGUAAUAGCAAUUGUCAAACACAUACACACACACACACACACACACACAUUUAAAACAUAACAGAGAAAGAGGAUUGCUGUGUGUAAAAUGUGAAUUUCGGUUAUCAAUGGUAACAACAUCAAGGAAAUGGUUAAAAUAGAGGAUAAACAGAUGAGUAGGCAAUUAAGGACUGAUGGAAAUUCUUUGACAUUGUUAAGGAUAUUAUUCAUGUCCCUAGAUUCUGGAAGGAGUGAUCAACAGUUCUGGAAAAGGAACGAGGACUUCCAAAUUCAUUUAUAGAGAAUUUCUGAGAUACUGAGUUUUUGACCUGUUAACCAUCAUUCAACUCUGUUUGGACCUCCAGCCUCAUUUUAGUGUGUUCCUUUGUUAAAUACCCCCAUCCACCCUGUGGCUCAAGCCAAAACCCUAGCUCUCAUCCUUGACACCUCUGUAAUUUCUCAAAUCCAGUUCAUCUAUGAGUACUGCUACUUUUACCUCACAAAUAUAUUUUUAAAUCAUCUCACCCUGUGUUCUUAACUGCUACCAACCCGGAGUAUGGCUUUUUCUCUCACACCAAAACUAUUCCAAUAACACCCCAACUGUUCUGCCUGGAUUUUAUCCUUCUCUUCUCCAACCUCAUCCCCAUAGAGAAAUCAAACUUAACAUUUUCAAGUUAUAACUCUGAUCAUGUCAUUCCCCUCUUAACAUCUUCCAAAGUCUUUUCAUAGCACACAGAUUGGAAACUCUCCUUUAAAAAAGAAAAAGAAAAAGAAAAAAAGGCCCAGAAGUCUCACAUCAAUCAGUUACUACUCAUCUCUCUCAACUUAUUUCUCUUUUCGCCCAGAUGGGAUCCGCUGCAUGCAAGAUGUCCUUGGCCCUAGAAAGAGAAUGUGGAAACUUCUCUUUGCCACUACCUCAGACUUUCAUUCCUCCUCCAGCAUCUUCUUAAAGGCAAUUUGUACUUCACACUAUCCAAGCUGCAAUAGGGAGAAGAAAGGGUA